UAAUUCAUCAUAACAAAGUUCCAAAUAGCAAAUAAUGAAAUAAAACAGUCUUAACAGAUAAUACUUCAUGAAACACAAUAAAAUGUUAGUAGCCCUUUUCACUCAUCAUCGUCUUUCUCCUCCUCCUCCUCUUCCUCUUCCCUCAAAUCUUCAUGGCUGCCAAUUCAAAUAAAAAACAUAAAUCAAACUUCAAUUCAAAUAAAUCAACUGCCCAAUUCAAUAAACCCACUGCCCAAUUCAACAAAAUACUAAGAAAUACCCACUGCCAAUUCAAUAAACCCACUGCCCAACUCAAUAAACCAACUGCCCAAACUUCAAUUCAAAUAAAACCACUGCCAAUUUGAAAUACCCACUGCCAAUUCGAAAUUAAACUUCAAUCCAACAAAACCCAAAGCCAAUUUCAGCCAAUCUUCAUACAUACCCACUGCCCAAGCCAAAUAAAAGGAUUAGAGCAAUACCUUUAGUUGUUAAGGUGGCCGGACUGCUCCAAGCGCACAGGGCGGUGCGACGGCGACAGCGGCGGGGCGCAGGGCGGCGCGACGGCGACGGCGGGGUG
rnacentral:lncRNA from 1 species